rnacentral:rRNA from 1 species
UGGGGAAUAUUGCACAAUGGGCGCAAGCCUGAUGCAGCCAUGCCGCGUGUGUGAAGAAGGCCUUCGGGUUGUAAAGCACUUUCAGCGGGGAGGAAGGCGUUAAGGUUAAUAACCUUGGCGAUUGACGUUACCCGCAGAAGAAGCACCGGCUAACUCCGUGCCAGCAGCCGCGGUAAUACGGAGGGUGCAAGCGUUAAUCGGAAUUACUGGGCGUAAAGCGCACGCAGGCGGUCUGUCAAGUCGGAUGUGAAAGCCCCGGGCUCAACCUGGGAACUGCAUUCGAAACUGGCAGGCUAGAGUCUUGUAGAGGGGGGUAGAAUUCCAGGUGUAGCGGUGAAAUGCGUAGAGAUCUGGAGGAAUACCGGUGGCGAAGGCGGCCCCCUGGACAAAGACUGACGCUCAGGUGCGAAAGCGUGGGGAGCAAACAGG